rnacentral:ncRNA from 1 species
CCGCAGGGGAGUCCGUGUGCCGGGCUGAGAGGAAGCCAUAGCUUCGACCCUUUGAACCUGAUUUGGGUCAUGCCAACGAAGGGACGCACA